rnacentral:rRNA from 1 species
UACGUAGGGGGCAAGCGUUAUCCGGAUUUACUGGGUGUAAAGGGAGCGUAGACGGCGUAAUAAGUCUGAAGUGAAAGCCCGGGGCUCAACCCCGGGACUGCUUUGGAAACUGUAAUGCUAGAGUGCAGGAGAGGUAAGUGGAAUUCCUGGUGUAGCGGUGGAAUGCGCAGAUAUCAGGAGGAACACCGGUGGCGAAGGCGGUUCUCUGGGCAUUACCUGACGCUGAGGCGCGAAAGCGUGGGGAGCAAACAGG